rnacentral:lncRNA from 1 species
AAAAGAUUAAAGGUUUAGUAGCUCCUUGUGUCCCAAAAAUCUUAGUGCAUGCAGUUUUGAGCUAUUCAAGUUUUAAGCUUUAGUAGCUUAAAAUUUCAAUAAGACUUUUGGGACAACCUGUGUGGUGUAUAGUGCCACAGCCUGAUGCUAAUCACAUGCCUCGCGAUCCACUCAGUUCCAGAAUUUGGCUUUUGCUCUUUCCAUUAAGCCAAAUCCAAGGACACAGUGCUUUGCACAUAGUAAAGGCUUAAUAAAUCUUCUUGCAUUCAUUCACUCCACAGAGCCAUCCAUUGCAUUCCUAACUUGGGGGCCAAGAGAAAGUAGCCUGAGGGUAAAUAUUUCCUCCCAGUCAGGUCCCUCACCUGCCAGGACAGCUUUCUUUCAUCUGGUGCUAUUUCCUCAUUCACCCAGAAAUCACUGCAACAGAGGCUGGCCUUCAGGACCCACUAAACGUGGAGUUGUGAAAUCUUCAGAGGCUCAGCACCAGUCAGUUGCCCCUCCUCCCAGCAGCUUGCUGCCCCAGACACUUAAAGCAGCUGCCCAAGCAGCCCGAGCAGCAGAAGCAGCCGCCGCCGCUUCGUCGCCAUUGCCAGGGCACAGGCUAGAAGCGUGCCCAGUUUCCGGGGCCCCAGUACCCGUCAAGAUGCGCUGUGUGCUGCUGCUGGUCCUCGCGGCCGGGGCUUUCUUUCUAGCCCCCGGAGUUUCCAGCUUGCCCACUGUUUCUGCGGAAGCACAACAAGAAAUAUGAUAUGUCGGAGUAUCAUCGCAGAUUAUACAAUUUUCUCGAAAAUAAGAGAAUAAUUGAUAAACACAAUGCUGGGAACCACUCAUACAGAAGUACUACAGUAAAAUUAUUCUAAUACUUCUCUGGGAUCUGGGGCUGGUAAAAUGUUCGAAAAUAGCAGUAGAGUAUAAGCCAAAGAAUAUUAAUCAAUUAACCAGGAAAUGUUUUUUUGUGUCUUUAUAUGAAUCAUCAACCAAUCAGUCAACAAGUAUUUUACUAAGUACCUACUAAGUGCCAGACACAGGGGAUAUAAUACAAUGUGGGGAGGGGGGUGUGGAGAGGUGGAUGGGUGUGUGAAAUGAUAAUGUAUUACCAUAAUAUGAAACUGAGAUAUAACUAGGAAUUUUUAUGCAUGAAGCAAAUUCACUUUUCAGAGAUUUGCAUAGUUAGGUGAACCAGGUGAGUGGGUUGAUGCCUCCAAGAUAGGGCCUGGCCUAUCCCAUACAGUGCAUGAAUGGAAGAAAGAUAAGCCCUAAAAGAAGGUAUCACAGUGAGAGGCCCCUUGGAGGCAAGAGGGAUGCUGGCUUGGGGGCACUUGCUGCACAUGGAAGCCCAAUGGGCCACAGGUUAGGAGGUGAGGUAGGGUAGGGGGUCAGCAAACAUAAUAAGUGUAUAUUAUGAAUUGGGUAUUGUACUCAGUGCUAAUGAUACAAAGACAAAUGGAAAAACAGCCCCUGUUUUCAAGCUUACAUUCUAGUGGUGGUAUAUAAUAUAUUUACUAACAACCAAGGGGAACAACAAAGGCUUCUGGAGGAACUAAUUUGAUUUGGGUCUUGGAGCAAGCUAAAGAUUCUAAGAAAGGACUGGGUGCAUUUCAGGUAUGAGUAAUAACCUAUGAAAAGGUAGAGAGGGAAGAGAUGGAAUUCUGAGCUCAGAAAACAGAAUUGGGCCAAUUUGUCUGGUGGUAGGAAUGAAGGGCCUGAGAUGCCAAAGUAAGAAUCUUGUAUUUCAUCCUAGAAAUAAUAGGAUGCCACUGAAAAGUGCUGAGCAAGUGAGUGGCAUGGCCAGACCCGUGCUUUAGGAAGAUUAUUUUGGCAUCUGUGUGGAAGUUGGUCUGGACAGGAAAAAACCAGAAGCCAGAAAUACAAUUAGGAGGCUAUUUGGAAAAACCCAGGAAAGAGGUGAUGAGGACCCUGGAAGCAGAAAGGAGGCAAAUGUGAGAAAUAUUGUAGAGAUAAAAUUGGCAGCUAGUUGGUGCAGUGGAUAGAGCACUGGUCCUGGAAGCAGGAAGAGCUUAGUUCAGAUCUGCCCUCAGAGACUUACUAGCAAUGUGACCCUGAGCAAGUCCCUUAACCUCAGUUUCCUCCUCUUUAAAAUGGGGAUAAGAGUCACACCUACCUCCCAGGGUUGUUGUGAGGAUCAAAAGAGAUAAUAAUAAUUGCUUAAUAAUUUAAAAGCACUCAGGAAAGUGCCCGGCACAUAGUAAGCACUAUAUAAAUGUUAGUUAUUAUUACUGUUUGUGCAAAACUUGAUGACUGGAUAGAAGGGAGAGUAAAGAGUCAAGGGUGAUUCUGAGGAUAGAAAAUUGGUUAUAUAGAGAGAAAUUUGGAGGAAGGUCAUGUUUAGGUGAGGAAGACAAUGAAUUCCAAUUCAGACAUUUUUAGUUAUACAGGGACAAUCAGGUGGAUAAAAAUGUCCAUGAUGGAGUUAAUGAUAAAGAAUUAGAGUUCAAGAGAGACUAGUACUGAACAUAAAGAUAAGGGAAUAGUCUAGAUAGAAAUGAUGACUGAGCUGAGAGAAACUGAUGAGAGGAUUCAUGCAAAGCCUUGUGGAAACCCAGAGUCAAGGAAAUAGGGCAUGGGUGGUGAAUCCAGCAAAGAAGACUGAAAAGGAGAAUCAUGGGAGAGUAAUAUCAGAAAAGCUAAGUGAAGAGAUGAGAAGGGAGUGGUCAACAAAAUAAAAAACUGCCAAGAGAUCCA